UGGGGAAUUUUCCGCAAUGGGCGAAAGCCUGACGGAGCAAGACCGCGUGAGGGAGGAAGGCCUUUGGGUUGUAAACCUCUUUUCUCAGGGAAGACGACAGUGACGGUACCUGAGGAAUCAGCCUCGGCUAACUCCGUGCCAGCAGCCGCGGUAAUACGGAGGAGGCAAGCGUUAUCCGGAAUUAUUGGGCGUAAAGCGUCCGCAGGUGGUGAUUCAAGUCCGCUGUCAAAGACCGGGGCUCAACCCUGGGCCGGCAGUAGAAACGGAAUUACGAGAGAUCGGUAGGGGUAGAGGGAAUUCCCAGUGUAGCGGUGAAAUGCGUAGAGAUUGGGAAGAACACCAGUGGCGAAAGCGCUCUACUGGGCCGGUACUGACACUCAGGGACGAAAGCUAGGGGAGCGAAAGGGAUUAGAUACCCCCGUAGUCC
rnacentral:rRNA from 1 species